GUUUAUUCCAGUUGCUGCAUACCUUAAAAGAUUAACUAAAUCAAAUGAAGAAAAAGUAUUUCUCUCUAUUUAACUUUAUCUUUUGCAUUUCAGUAUUAACAGCAGAUGAGGAAGUGUCUACGGACAAGACACUUGUACAUAACAAGUAUUAAAUUCAAUUAUAUGUCUGCUAUGGAACUUAAAUCUUAUUUAUAGGUGAUGAAAGUUAUCCAUUCAAAUUAAAACUCAGUAUUUUCAACAUAAAUAUAGUCACAUUUAAUUCUAACAGAUUUUUUUUUUAACUGAAAUUGUCUUGUCCGUAGACAUCACCACAAUAUAUUUGUAUCCAAUUUCCUUGAGUUCAGCAUAAUUUGAUAGGUAAAAUGUAUGUUAUUUUUUCA
rnacentral:lncRNA from 1 species